rfam:Gossypium raimondii Chr07_contig_1426, whole genome shotgun sequence.
GGUUAAAAAUUCCAUUUAUUUGUACUGUUAAAAAUUGACAUGGCUAACGAAAUAACCAUACAGUGACACGUGACGCGCCACAUGUACCUCAUAUGGGCAUAUAGAAGCUAGUUUUUAAAAAUAGAAAUUGAUAAAAUUUUUAAUA